rnacentral:rRNA from 1 species
UCGAGCGCGGGAGCAGGCAGAUCCUCUUCGGAGGUGACGCUUGUGGAACGAGCGGCGGACGGGUGAGUAACACGUGGGCAACCUGCCUGUAAGAUUGGGAUAACCCCGGGAAACCGGGGCUAAUACCGGAUAAUACUUUUCGUUGCAUAACGAGAAGUUGAAAGGCGGCUUUUAGCUGUCACUUACAGAUGGGCCCGCGGCGCAUUAGCUAGUUGGUAAGGUAACGGCUUACCAAGGCGACGAUGCGUAGCCGACCUGAGAGGGUGAUCGGCCACACUGGGACUGAGACACGGCCCAGACUCCUACGGGAGGCAGCAGUAGGGAAUCUUCCGCAAUGGACGAAAGUCUGACGGAGCAACGCCGCGUGAGUGAUGAAGGUUUUCGGAUCGUAAAACUCUGUUGUCAGGGAAGAACAAGUGCCGUUCAAAUAGGGCGGCACCUUGACGGUACCUGACCAGAAAGCCCCGGCUAACUACGUGCCAGCAGCCGCGGUAAUACGUAGGGGGCAAGCGUUGUCCGGAAUUAUUGGGCGUAAAGCGCGCGCAGGCGGUCCUUUAAGUCUGAUGUGAAAGCCCACGGCUUAACCGUGGAGGGCCAUUGGAAACUGGAGGACUUGAGUACAGAAGAGGAGAGUGGAAUUCCACGUGUAGCGGUGAAAUGCGUAGAGAUGUGGAGGAACACCAGUGGCGAAGGCGACUCUCUGGUCUGUAACUGACGCUGAGGUGCGAAAGCGUGGGGGAGCGAACAGGAUUAGAUACCCUGGUAGUCCACGCCGUAAACGAUGAGUGCUAGGUGUUAUGGGGUUUNCCGCCCCUUAGUGCUGAAGUUAACGCAUUAAGCACUCCGCCUGGGGAGUACGGCCGCAAGGCUGAAACUCAAAGAAUUGACGGGGGCCCGCNCAAGCGGUGGAGCAUGUGGUUUAAUUCGAAGCAACGCGAAGAACCUUUACCAGGUCUUGACAUCCUCUGCCAAUCCUAGAGAUAGGAUGUUCCCUUUCGGGGACAGAGUGA